CUGGGCACAGGCGGUGCGGGCACCUCGGGGUGAGGUAGUAGGUUGUGUGGUUUCAGGGCAGCGGUGUCGCCCCUCAGCAGAUAACUAUACAGCCUACUGCCUUCCCCGAGGGGUCCAGUGGCAUGGCCGCCCGGG
rnacentral:pre_miRNA from 14 species